rfam:Ictidomys tridecemlineatus contig009946, whole genome shotgun sequence.
GGGGUUGUGGCUCAGCGGUAGAGCGCUCGCCUAGCAUGUGUGAGGCCCUGGGUUCGAUCCUCAGCACCA